GACGAACGCUGGCGGCGUGCUUAACACAUGCAAGUCGAGCGGAGCGGCGAACGGGUGGGUAACGCGUGAGUAACUGCCCCCCUCUCUGGGAUAACAGUUGGAAACGGCUGCUAAUACCUGAUAGUGGGGGAUGACUCGGGUCCUAUCAGCUUGUUGGUGUGGUAGUGGCCUACCAAGGCGACGACGGGUACCCGACCUGAGAGGGCGACCGGCCCCAGUGGGCUGAGAUACGGCCCAAAGUCCUACGGGGGGCAGCAGUGGGGAAUAUUGCACAACGGGGGAAACCCUGAUGUAGCAACGCCGCGGGCGGGAUGACGGCCUUCGGGUGGUAAACCGCUUUCAGCCAUGACGCGGUAGUGGCAGAAGAAGCACCGGCUAACUACGUGCCAGCAGCCGCGGUAAUAC
rnacentral:rRNA from 1 species